rnacentral:rRNA from 1 species
UACGAAGGGGGCUAGCGUUAUCCGGAAUCACUGGGCGUAAAGCGCACGCAGGCGGAUCGAUAAGUCGGGGGUGAAAGCCCGGGGCUCAACCUCGGAAUUGCCUUCGAUACUGUCGGUCUCGAGUCCGGGAGAGGUGAGUGGAAUUCCUAGUGUAGAGGUGAAAUUCGUAGAUAUUAGGAAGAACACCAGUGGCGAAGGCGGCUCACUGGCCCGGUACUGACGCUCAGGUGCGAAAGCGUGGGGAGCAAACCGG